UUUCCGUAGGUGAACCUGCGGAAGGAUCAUUAUUGAAUAACCCAGGUUCGAACUCUGUCGCUCACCCGAAAGGUAGUGCACGCCCGAUUGCCCUCCCACACAUGCAUCUCACCCCUAUGUGCACCACCGCGUGGGUCCCCCUUUGGCUUGUUCGUAUGUGGUCUUACGUUUUCACACAAACUUUCUAUGCAUUGUAGAAUGUAUUUUAUGAUUUAUCAAUUACGCAAGCAAAACAACUUUCAACAACGAAUCUCUCGGCUCUCGCAACGAGGAAGAACG
rnacentral:misc_RNA from 1 species